ACAGUCAGGGACUCACCUGGUGAUUAUUCAUGAGAUGAUCAGAAACAGUAUAAGCUGUAGAACUGCUGCUGGUGUGUAUAAAAUGUCCACAUACUCGAUGAACGCCCAUUGCAGGAAAAUGAGGUCUCUCCUGGAAUAACGAAACAAAAUUGAAUAAUCUGAUGUUUUAAGAAAGUUUGCAAUUUUUUUCUUAACUCCAUCCUUAUUUCUAAAGCCUGCUCUGGAUGUCUCAUUUUUGGACAGACUAUUUCUUUAGUGGGUCAUGCCAGGGAUAAAUUGAGAAAUUCUUUAAUUUCUUACCUCAUCUUUUAAGGUUGUAUUGGAAAAGGGCAUAUGUAUCACAGGAGGGGAGCAGAAAGUCACCUAUUUUGCAGGGAUUUUAUGAGACCUGAAGAUUAAGGAACUUUCGCUGCUAUUCGUACCAGUUUCAUGUCUGUUAAUGUUUUGUGAUCCUCAAAGGCCCAAUGCCAUUGUAUGCAAAAAAUCAGGGUGAGGAGAGACAUGUCCAUGCUUUGGGGUAGAUUGUUCUUCACUUGCUUUUCAUCUAUCCUGUUCAUAUUUCUCUCCUGAAUUCCAGAACACCGAGCACUGUUCUGGAGUUUCAGAAGGGGACUUUAUGCUGUCAGAAAGGAGGAUGACGUGGGCCCCCUGCAAGUGGACAGUCAGGGCAUGAUGGUUUAACUCCAGCCACCCAGAAG
rnacentral:lncRNA from 1 species